rnacentral:rRNA from 1 species
UGAGUAACACGUAUCCAACCUGCCGUCUACUCUUGGACAGCCUUCUGAAAGGAAGAUUAAUACAAGAUGGCAUCAUGAGUCCGCAUGUUCACAUGAUUAAAGGUAUUCCGGUAGACGAUGGGGAUGCGUUCCAUUAGAUAGUAGGCGGGGUAACGGUCCACCUAGUCUUCGAUGGAUAGGGGUUCUGAGAGGAAGGUCCCCCACAUUGGAACUGAGACACGGUCCAA